GACGAACGCUGGCGGCGCGCUUAAUACAUGCAAGUCGAGCGAGAACCAGAGCUUCGGCCCUGGGGAAAGCGGCGAACGGGUGAGUAUCACGUGAGUAAUCUGCCCUCGGCACCGGGAUAGCCCGGGGAAACCCGGACUAAUACCGGAUGGCCUCUCGAGCCCUCGGGCUCGUGAGAAAAGGUAGCUUCGGCCUCCGGCCGAGGAGGAGCUCGCGGCGGAUUAGCUUGUUGGUGGGGUAACGGCUCACCAAGGCGACGAUCCGUAGCUGGUCUGAGAGGACGAUCAGCCACACUGGGACUGAGACACGGCCCAGACUCCUACGGGAGGCAGCAGUAGGGAAUCUUGCGCAAUGGGCGAAAGCCUGACGCAGCGACGCCGCGUGCGGGAAGAAGGCCUUCGGGUUGUAAACCGCUUUCAGGAGGGACGAAGCCACUCGGGUUAAUAGCCCAGAGGGUGACGGUACCUCCAGAAGAAGCCCCGGCUAACUACGUGCCAGCAGCAGCCGCUGUAA
rnacentral:rRNA from 1 species